CUACGGGAUGCACCAGUGGGGAAUAUUGCACAAUGGACGAAAGUCUGAUGCAGCAACGCCGCGUGGAGGGUGACACAUUUCGGUGCGUAAACUCCUUUUAUAUAGGAAGAUAAUGACGGUACUAUAUGAAUAAGCGCCGGCUAACUCCGUGCCAGCAGCCGCGGUAAUACGUAGGGCGCAAGCGUUACUCGGAAUCACUGGGCGUAAAGAGCGUGUAGGCGGAUAGAUAAGUCAGGAGUGAAAUCCUAUGGCUCAACCAUAGAACUGCUCUUGAAACUGUCUAUCUAGAAUAUGGGAGAGGUAGAUGGAAUUUCUGGUGUAGGGGUAAAAUCCGUAGAGAUCAGAAGGAAUACCGAUUGCGAAGGCGAUCUACUGGAACAUUAUUGACGCUGAGACGCGAAAGCGUGGGGAGCAAACAGGAUUAGAUACCCUGGUAGUC
rnacentral:rRNA from 1 species